rnacentral:rRNA from 1 species
GACGUAGGGCGCGAGCGUUGUCCGGAAUUAUUGGGCGUAAAGGGCUCGUAGGCGGUUUGUCACGUCGGGAGUGAAAACUCGGGGCUCAACCCCGAGCCUGCUUCCGAUACGGGCAGACUAGAGGUAUGCAGGGGAGAAUGGAAUUCCUGGUGUAGCGGUGAAAUGCGCAGAUAUCAGGAGGAACACCGGUGGCGAAGGCGGUUCUCUGGGCAUUACCUGACGCUGAGGAGCGAAAGUGUGGGGAGCGAACAGG